CGAUGAUGUUGGUUUGCUAGUUGUUGACCUUUUUUUGUCUGUGAACAAUAAUAAUCCAAGUAAAGUUGUACCGAUAAAAUUGGACAAUAAUCCAAUCUCUUUGUUGGUAUAAUUAACUUUAUCGAAUGAAAUUUUGGGAGAGGCUUUGGUGAGUGAAGAGAGGCACAGACACAGCACUGGCCACAUUUGAUUUUUAUUCCGCAAUUGAUUUUGAUUUUUGAUCACAAUUUGAAAUCACAAAAAUUCCAACAAUUGAAAGGAGAGAAGAAGAAAACAAAAAGAGAGAAUUAAAGAUGGCGGAGAUCUUUUUUUUCCCUUGGAUUUCACGUUUGGAUUAAGCAAAAAGUAGCAGAAGUUAACCAGAAGAAACAAGAUGGAAAGUAAAAAUCACGGUUUUGAUGGUAAAUCAACAAUGGCAAGGAAAGCUAAGAGUUGAAACAAUUUUCUAAAUUUCAAAUAUUAAUUCUUUAUAUUAAUAUUAAGUAGAUUUAAUAAUAAUUACUUAAUAAUAUUAAAACAAUUGAAAAAUUGUAAUUAUUAACGGACGAGGUAGAAAUAUCUUUUGGCUUUCUUUUGUUUAUUUGGUUGGUUGUCGCUGAUUGGUUAAUAGAAUUUUCUUGUUGAUUUCUUAGCUCUCUUUUUUAACGGUUAACAAUGAUGAUACAAUAACAAGAGUGGAUUGAAGCAAAAUUGGUUUCCAAUUGAUAUGAGCUGUGAGGUUGAUUGUUGAUAUAGCUGAUUGCUGAUUAAAUUGGGACAUUUGUUGCUUUAAACAAUUAACUGUGUAGCACGAUUAACCAGUUUACCAAUUGGCUGACAAAAUUCAGUCUUUCUUUGUUCAGGCUUACCCGGCUGAAGAUGGUGUUUAGCCUUAUAUAUUAUGUACAAUCACAAUUCCCUCAGCUGACAAUUGGGAACCGAGUUUUAUCACUGCAAUUGGUGUCACUGGUCUUUUAGGAAACCAUGUUAAUGUUGAAUACGUUUUCUCCGGUAGAACCAAAAAUUAUCACUCAAUGGGAACAAGGGAAAGUGUAAACAAGUGUUCAACAACAGAAGAAAUAUAAAGUGAAAAUUGAAGAGUUCAACAAACGAUGAUCAACAGUAAAUAUAAAUUUGUAAUUAUGUAUUUAAUUUGUGUUUAUCAGAAAUUAUUGUUACUUAUGUUGUUUUUUUUCUUCCUCUCUUAAGUCUAUGUAUUGGUGUUUGUAUAUUUUUCAAAGUUGACGUUCGAUUGGCAACAUUUUUCAUCGAAACGUUAAUGAGACUGUUCAAUGUUCAGAUGCUUUGACUUGAUUUUUUUUCAUCAGUUCAACAUUCUGCUCAGUCUCGACUAAAUUGUCAAUCUCAAUUGGUAUUCCUUCCAUUUUUUACAAUUCUGGUUUACUGAUUCAAUUGCACUAGAGGCAUCUAGAGUCUAUCUUUUGCAUUACAAUUUACUUCAAUCAAUCUUAAACAUUUACCUAACAAAUCGGUUGAUAUGGGUUUAAAUGAAUUUUAGGUAAAUAAAUUUAUUUAUUUUACUAAUUUAA